rnacentral:rRNA from 1 species
GUACACUCCUACGGGAGGCAGCAGUGGGGAAUUUUGGACAAUGGGCGAAAGCCUGAUCCAGCAAUGCCGCGUGAGUGAAGAAGGCCUUCGGGUUGUAAAGCUCUUUUGUCAGGGAAGAAACGGUGAAAGCUAAUAUCUUUUGCUAAUGACGGUACCUGAAGAAUAAGCACCGGCUAACUACGUGCCAGCAGCCGCGGUAAUACGUAGGGUGCAAGCGUUAAUCGGAAUUACUGGGCGUAAAGCGUGCGCAGGCGGUUUUGUAAGUCUGAUGUGAAAUCCCCGGGCUCAACCUGGGAAUUGCAUUGGAGACUGCAAGGCUAGAAUCUGGCAGAGGGGGGUAGAAUUCCACGUGUAGCAGUGAAAUGCGUAGAUAUGUGGAGGAACACCGAUGGCGAAGGCAGCCCCCUGGGUCAAGAUUGACGCUCAUGCACGAAAGCGUGGGGAGCAAACAGGAUUAGAUACCCCGGUAGUCCCAUGAU